CCUACGGGAGGCUGCAGUGAGGAAUAUUGGUCAAUGGACGAGAGUCUGAACCUGCCAAGUAGCGUGAAGGAUGACUGCCCUAUGGGUUGUAAACUUCUUUUAUAUGGGAAUAAAAUGUUCCACGUGUGGGAUUUUGUAUGUACCAUAUGAAUAAGGAUCGGCUAACUCCGUGCCAGCAGCCGCGGUAAUACGGAGGAUCCGAGCGUUAUCCGGAUUUAUUGGGUUUAAAGGGAGCGUAGGUGGAUUGUUAAGUCAGUUGUGAAAGUUUGCGGCUCAACCGGAAAAUUGCAGUUGAAACUGGCAGUCUUGAGUACAGUAGAGGUGGGCGGAAUUCGUGGUGUAGCGGUGAAAUGCUUAGAUAUCACGAAGAACUCCGAUUGCGAAGGCAGUUCACUGGACUGCAACUGACACUGAGGCUCGAAAGUGUGGGUAUCAAACAGGAUUAGAUACCCUUGUAGUC
rnacentral:rRNA from 1 species